GUACAGCAGCAAGAAACUAAAAGGUUCGGACAUCACGUGCGACUUCCACCAAGCCACCUCAUUUGUCAGCCAUUUCUGAGGCAAAGUGCUGACGACCACAACUUUCCACAGGGCCGCUGCAAAAAACUUUAAGCCUCACUUGUAGCAUUAAGGCCAUUUCCAGGCGUUUUUGCUGUGAUUUCAGCUAACUGGCCCAGGUUCUUACGGAACUAGAAGGAAGCAGGAAAGUUGGGUUUAACUGAGCAAAUAUAUUUUAGCUUAUUAAUACAUUAGAAAGGUAUAAGUAGUGACCAUUAUACAAAUUAUAUUAAGAGCACAGGAUGUUAUCCCUCUUCCAGGUAUUUUAAGAGUGCCAGAGCAUAAACUCGUUUCAUGGGAUUAGAAGUGAAAAAAUAAGGGGAAGAAGGGGUGGGGGGGCAGAACCUACUAUGCAAAAUAGCUAAGUGAGAAAUUCCGGCUAAUUUUAAUCGAAAAACUUCAUAGACCAGUUGUAAUAUCAUGAAAAUGAUUCAAAAUGUAUUCCCGCGUGGGAGAAUGACAUUUUGAAUAUUUUCUAGAAAUCACACCGAAACUGUUACAGUUACAAGUAAUUAAAUUUAUUAGACCUCUAUAAUUUUUAUAGUCAGUUUUGGCCAAUUUACAGGUUUCUUGGGGAUCAUUUUUGGUUUAAACACACACACAUACAAAAAAAAAAGCAUCAUAAAUCGAGUUCACUUAUACAUCAACCCCUCCCCUAGCCCCGUCACAGCCACCUAAAAAAGGGGGAAGCCUCAGCUGCACACAGGCCGAGCAGCACACACACUACACUACAGCGAGAGCGUCAAACCGAUACAAGGCUGUGGUUUAUUCCGAUUACACGUCGUAAAAAGGGUCCGCCGGCGUCUCUGUACACAUGUAUAUAAUGUUACAUCCCACCACUGUAAAAAGCCCCCCCCGUCCCCCCCCCCCAGUGUCACUCCCCCAGCUUGCUGGGGGCUUUCUCCUGUCUGUGCAGGUCCUUCUCCUUCAGCAGCUGCAGGUUCUCGGCUCGCAACCUGUCCACCUCCAGCUCCAGGUACUCCUUGACCAGCUCCUGCUUGCUCAUGUUCUGCAGGCUCUCCACAUGGUACCGCUCGUAGGUCUCCGAGAAGUCCCUCUGCAGAAACUCGCUGCCGUCGCCCCCCAUGCCGUCGCUGCCGCCGUCCUCCUCGGCCGCCUCCUCCAGGAAGUCCUCCUCGCUCGUGUCGUCCGACUUGGCGGCCGCCCGCCGCGGGUACAGCCCGGUCUUGAGGUCGGGCUCCUCCUGGUCGUGGUCCUCCAUCAGGAACUGCGUCGUGUUGUAGGGGGCCACCGGCUGCCCCUUGGCGAACAUCUCGGCGCGGAGCCGCGAGGCGCGGAGGCUCUGCCGCUCGUCGAACUGCUGCUUCUCCUCCCAGCUCAGCUUCGAGUAGGGCUUCCAGCGCCGCUUCUUCUUCGACGGCCGCCGCCGGUGCUUCUUCUUGGCCGGCCACUCCUCGGCGCGCCCCACGG
rnacentral:lncRNA from 1 species